rnacentral:rRNA from 1 species
GACGAACGCUGGCGGCGUGCUUAACACAUGCAAGUCGAACGAAGUGGCGAACGGGUGAGUAACGCGUAAUCAACCUGCCCUUCAGCGGGGGACAACAGUUGGAAACGACUGCUAAUACCGCAUACUGAAGUAGGGGUUUGCGUCUGAUUAGCUUGUUGGCGGGGUAACGGCCCACCAAGGCGAUGAUCAGUAGACGGUCUGAGAGGAGAAACGGCAAAAAUGGGACUGAGACACGGCCCAGACUCCUAAGGGAGGACGAAGUGGGGAAUCUUCCGCAAUGGACGAAAGUCUGACGGAGCAACGCCGCGUGAGUGAUGACGGCCUUCGGGUUGUAAAGCUCUGUUAAUCGGGACGCGGUACCGGAAUAGAAAGCCACGGAUAACUACGUGCCAGCAGCCGCGGUAAUAC